GGGGCGUGCCUUAAUUUAGGGCGUGAAGGCACCGUGCCUUCGAGCCAGGUGUCGCGUUGCUACUGGGCCGAGGAGAAAGACAACCCUGGUUAUUUUUUUUUUCUUUUCUUUUCUGCUUUCUCUCUUUCCGUUUCUCUUCUCUCUCUCGGGGCAUGGCGAUUCGAUGGCGAUUCUCUCCCUCUUUGUGGCUUUUAUCGACGGAACGGCGAGAGCUCUAUUGGUGUAGCUCGGCGACAAAAGAAAACCACGACCUUUCUAUCGGUGGCUCUUCUCGACCUUGGAAAACAGCGAAAAACGGCGAGAAACGGCGAGAAACGGUGAUAUAUCUCUCUAUCGGCGGCUCUCUGACACGUUCUAUACCGGAUACUGUUGCGGUUGAGCCGAAUCGAAAGUGGGAUUGAUCAAGAGGAAUGAUUCAGGUACAUUUUGUCUUUGUGUUAAUUGUGAAUUGUGAAAUUGAAAGAAAAAAAUUCUGAUUUUUUGUUUUGAUUUGCUUGUGUCUGUUUUGCCUUGAGCUGGAUUGAUCAAGAAGCUGUCCGAGAGAGAUUGUGUCUCUGUGGGUUAAGGUGUUUUGCUCAAGACGCAUCACACAUGUUCUUCACACAAAGGGCCAACGAUUCAUCAUAGAGGUGAGAGUUGUUGAGAGAGGUCACGAGAUGUAGAGCUAGCUGGUGGGUUGUCUUCUACUUGUCACGAGAUGUAGAGAUAGCUGGUGGGUUGUCUUGUACUUGUCACUAGAGUAGAGAUAGGUGCUUGUCUUGUACUUGUUUUGUAGCUGUCACAACUGUAAAAGGAAAUGAAAGGUUUUGUAUUCUAGCAUCACGGGUUUGUGGUUGAGGAGAGUAGAGAUAGGUGGUGUCGGAUUUGUAUUUUUUUUCAUCACGGGUUUGAUUGUGUACAUGAAUGUGUAAAGUAAUCACACACCAUAUUCUUUCUCUAUAUUAUUGGCAAACGAGCAUUCUCAUUCUCACCAUUCUCUUUCUCACCAUUCUCUUUCUCUAUAUUCAUGUUCUUCUCUCCUUUAUCUUUCUAAAAUAAAUUGAUCACAAACACAUUCACACACCAUUCUCUCUCUUAAAUCAAACCUCUCAUAAUCACACUCAUGGCUUCUUCUUCAAAUAACAAUUUCGAUGAUUCAUUUGAUGAAGCGUUCGAUCAAUAUUUAGAUCAAACUUUCGAUCAAACAUUUGAGAAUUUGUGCAAUUUUUAUGGUGAUCAAGAAGAAGAAAUGAAGACAAGAAAACCAAGAGUUUAUAUCGAACGAAAUCACGAAGAAGGCCAUCUCUGGUUAUGGAAUGAUUAUUUCAGUGACACUCCUACAUAUCCAGAAAACCUAUUCCGACGACGAUUUAGAAUGAACAAGUCAUUGUUCAUGCAUAUUGUUCAUCGCCUCUCCAAUGAAGUUCGUUUUUUUCAUCAAAAGGAAGACGUUACCGGAAGGCUUGGUCUCUCCCCACUUCAAAAGUGUACAGCAGCUAUUCGUGUGUUGGUAUAUGGUUCUGCGCUAGAUGCGGUCGACGAAUACCUCAGGCUCGGUGCAACCACUACUCGGUUAUGUGUGGAAAAUUUCGUGGAAGCAAUAAUAUAUUUGUUCGGCGAUGAGUACCUAAGAAGACCAACACCGAAUGAUCUUCAACAUCUACUUCAUAUUGGAGAGCUUCGUGGAUUUCCCUGGAUGAUAGGAAGCAUCGAUUGUAUGCAUUGGGAGUGGAAGAAUUGUCCUACCGCGUCCUACCGCCUGGAAAGGACAAUAUUCUCGUGGUUCGGGAAAACCGACAAUCGUUUUAGAGGCGGUUGCUUCAUAUGAUCUCUAAAUAUGGCAUGCGUUUUUUGGACCUCCAGGUACUUUAAAUUAUAUCAAUGUUCUUGAUCGCUCACAUGUUUUUGAUGACAUAAUAAAUGGUCGAGCUCCGCAAGUGAAUUUCUCCGUCAACGGAAGAGAGUAUGAUAUGGCUUACUAUCUCACCGAUGGUAUUUAUCCGAAAUGGGCAACUUUUAUCCAAGAUAUUCCAAUUCCACAAGAGCCGAAAGCAGUGUUAUUUGCUCAGCGUCAAGAAGCUGCCCGAAAAGAUGUCGAGCGUGCUUUCGGAGUCUUGCAAGCUCGAUUUGCCAUUGUUAAAAAUCCAGCACUUUGUUGGGAUAAAGUCAAGAUUGGAAAGAUUAUGAGAGCAUAUAUCAUACUCCAUAAUAUGAUAGUGGAAAACGAAUGAGAUGAAGACACUCAAUAUGAUGUUUCAAAUUUCCAACAAGGAGAAGGCAGCAAAAGCUCACAUGUCGAUUUCACAUAUUCUACAGAAAUCCCUACAAAUCUCGCCAAUCAGAUGGGUGUUUGAACAAGAAUUCGUGAUAGACAAGCGCAUCAACAACUGAAAGGUGAUUUGGUUGAACACAUAUGGCGUAAAUUUGGACGUGAUCAAGACAACAACUGAGUUUCGAUGCAUCUUUGAAAUUAUUAACGUUUAUUUUAGUAAUCUUUGUUGUUAUUUUUUAAUUUUCAAAUCUAUGUUUAAAAUGUUAUGUUUAACUUUGUUUAAAAAUAAAAAAAAUAUCUUAAAAAAAAUCAUGUUCAAUAUUUUUUUUUAACAACCUCUAAUUAAGCAACUACCAAUAAACCACUUAAAUUAAAGGUCCCUUAACAAUACCCUUUAACUACACUUUAAUAUUUAAAAAAUCACUAAGCAACCCUAAGUGGGUUUCACCUAUAAAGAUGCUCUUAGUACAUCGGAAUAAAAAACUUUCUCUCUCUUCUCUAUGUUCUCACUCUCUGGAUAUUUCACAGAGAGAUGAAGGGAUGAAAGAUUUUUUGGUUUGUAAAAUAUUUCGAUCAUCUUGAUCGAAUCUUUAGUUCCGAUUAUCGGAUUUUGUUCUUCGCUUUGGCGAUUUACGUUUUCCUUUAGAAUAAUCUUUGUUUCGCUUGGCGAGUUUUUUGGUGUGGGUUUUCAAUUUCAAUCAACGGGUUAUGGAUUCUCAUGUCUUAUUGAGAUUGAAAAAUAAAUUUCGGAUCUAAUCCGGUUUCUUAUUCCUCUUUCGUAUUUAUUAAAUCAAAAUCCUGUUUGUUUGUGAUGGAAUUUAUCUCUCGAAGGUUAUGCUUUGAUUUCUUUCCCGCAGAAAUCAGUCUUCAUCGGCUUCAAGCUCGCCGGAAAUCGGAAAUGGGUGAAGCUUUUUUUACGGAAAGGAUGAGAAGAAUGAUGGAUUAAUCUCGAUCGCUUCAAAGGUGAUUCAGCAGAGGUUGGUGUCACUGAACGGUCCAACAUAGGGUCUACUUUUGGUCUGAUCGAGCACUUCCCGGAUUAACAUCUGGAGAUGGAGGAUAUUCCAAUCUACAUGCGACGGCAAAAGGCGGAGGAGGUCUUGGUGAAGGGUACACAUCAGAAGGAGGUUAGACUGAAGGAUAAGAGAUGAAGUCCGACAACCGUGAGCGGUGGCAGAGAGGCGUCUCCGGUGUGCUCCGCAUGAUACACGCGUGUCCUACAUACGUGUCUCUUCAAUAAACUUAAUGAAAAACAUGUGUCUUGUUAGGGUAUCUGAGUCGGCUUUCAUAUGGGCUGUAAAAUUUUAAUUAUCUGUAUCUCUGUUUGGACUUCGACUGUUGUAAUAGCCCUUAGCCCUUUAUCUCUUGCAAGCCUGUUGGACUCAUGUUUCCUUUAAUAGAAAUUCAGUUGACAAAAAAAAAAACUAACCUUAUGAUAAAAGGCCAAUAUAAUCAACUCUCAGCCCGGCCACAUGGUCUUAAAAAAUAACGAAUAGACAUGCUCCAUGAUGUGGCUCAUACGUCAAAAAUGAAAAAUUUGUGGCAUUCUUCAUGUGGGUUCAUUUUUAGAUAAAUUAUAGUGACAAAUUACUUUCUUAAAGAAAACUGAAGUUUCUGUUUAGACCAUCUCCGAUGAUUUAUUCUAUUUUAGAAUAGUUUUCACUCUAAAAAAAAAUAGUUUUCACUCUAAAAUCAACUCUAAAAUAGAGUAGAAUUUCUCUCCAAUGAUUUACUCUAUAUUUGACUUUAAAAAAGAAUAUUAUUAAAUAUAUUCUUUAUUUUAUUUUAUGACUAAUACAUUUUACUUACAAAAUUUACAAAUUGAUCUCAUAUAUUUUGUUUUUAAUGAAGUUUUAAUAAAUUAUAUAUUUAUAUCAAACAUUUAUUAUAUUAAAAUUUACAUUACUUAUAUUAAAAACGUAAUACAUUUUAACUUAAACAUCACCAUUAGUGUAUAUUUUCCACAAAUGAUCAAUUAACAAAUUUCGAAUGCGUAAUGAGAUUCUUUAUCUUUAAUUUUUAUAAAUCGAACAAGAAACUAUCCAAUCGUAAUAUUAUCAUUUGGAUAAUAUUUUAACAAUUUUGGUGGAUCUAGAAGAAAUUUACCAGAACAUAAAGUCAUUAUUAUCUAUAAUUUUAAUUUUAUGUUAUGCUGCUUAUUUUUAAUUAUAGUACUUGUUUUCUUUGGAUAAUAAAAUAAGUUCCAAACCUGUGUAUAUAUUGUGUUGAACAUAAUGUGUUGUUUGCAUAAGUAAAUUACACUAACAAUUUCAAAAUAAAAAGAUUAAAGAUUAAAGAAUAAAAGUAUAAAUAAAAAAGUUUCACUUUAUAAUCUAGUAAAAAAUAGAGUUACUCUAAAUAUAGAGUAAGAAAUAGAGUUACACUAUUUUAGAGUAAAAUAUAGAGUAUGGUUGGAGAAGAUUUUACUCUGUAAUAGAGUUUAGUGUAGAAAAUAGAGUGAGAUCGGAUAUGCCCUUAGGGGGUUAUUGGUAAGUGAAUUCUCAUGAACUUUGAAAAUUUUGAGAUCCCAUUGUUAUUUGUUCUUGGAUUUCAAAAGUCUUAGAAUCCAUUGUUAUUGGUUUAAGAAUAUUCAAAAUCUAUUCAAACCUCUUGUUAUUCAAAUUUUUUAGUUAUUAUUGAUUCUUUAAUUCUAACUAAACCUACUAUUAUUGAAAGAUGAAUUAUAUUUAUUUUUACUCUUAAGACUCAACUUUCAAAAUAUCAUAUGUAUGCAUGUGAUUUUCAAAAUCCAUGUGAUAAAAAAACUAGAAAAUAAAAUAAUUAUUCUUACCAAAUAUCUAUUGCACUUUAAAUCCAACUUAUAUGUCUAAAACAAUAAUUCAUUACAUUAAUAUACUUUUACAUUUUUAAAUAUAUAAUUAUUUUUAUAAUUAUUAUCAUUUUUAAAUAUAAAUAUUAAUAAUUACAUCUAUAAAUAUUAACAGUUUUUAAUAUAAAAAGUUCGAAUUUGAAAACAUAUAAUCCGAAAUUAUAAAGAAUUUUUUUUUUACUUAUAUAUCUAUAGAGAAAAGAAUAAAAUAGUCUUUUGCCCUUUUAAUAACAUUUUUGGUCAUUUUUCUCUUUCAAUGUUUUUUGUGACAAGAACUUAAAAAUUGACAUUUCAGAAAAUUGUCCAAUUUUGUAUAUAUCACUGUAUAUAUCACUAUUAUUUUCAUUUUAAUUUAAAAGAAAAAUAAAUAAUCAUGCUAUAUGAUUUAGAAAAUAAAUCAAUUAUAAUAUUUAGUUUACAAAAAGAAUGAUAGAAAAGAGGUAAUACAGAAUCAUGAAAAUUUAUACUAGUUUAAAAAAAUUAUGAUCAAAUUUUAUAAGUCGAUGUAUAUAAAUUUUCACAAUCUACAUAACUUUUGAAAAUCUAUCAAUUCUUAAAAUUCACAAACUCUAC